rnacentral:rRNA from 1 species
UACGUAGGGUGCGCGCGUUAAUCGGAAUUACUGGGCGUAAAGCGUGCGCAGGCGGUUUCGUAAGACAGGCGUGAAAUCCCCGGGCUCAACCUGGGAACUGCGCUUGUGACUGCGAGGCUAGAGUGUGUCAGAGGGAGGUGGAAUUCCACGUGUAGCAGUGAAAUGCGUAGAGAUGUGGAGGAACACCGAUGGCGAAGGCAGCCUCCGGGGAUAACACUGACGAUCAUGCACGAAAGCGUGGGGAGCAAACAGG